CCUACGGGAGGCAGCAGUGGGGAAUUUUGGACAAUGGGCGCAAGCCUGAUCCAGCUAUUCCGCGUGUGGGAUGAAGGCCUUCGGGUUGUAAAGUUCUGUCGCAGGGGACGAAAAUGACGGUACCCUGCAAGAAAGCUCCGGCUAACUACGUGCCAGCAGCCGCGGUAAUACGUAGGGAGCAAGCGUUGUCCGGAAUUACUGGGUGUAAAGGGAGCGUAGGCGGGAGGAUAAGUUUAAUGUGAAAUCUAUGGGCUCAACCCAUAGCUGCGUUCAAAACUGUUCUUCUUGAGUGAAGUAGAGGCAGGCGGAAUUCCUAGUGUAGCGGUGAAAUGCGUAGAUAUUAGGAGGAACACCAGUGGCGAAGGCGGCCUGCUGGGCUUUUACUGACGCUGAGGCUCGAAAGCGUGGGUAGCAAACAGGAUUAGAUACCCUUGUAGUC
rnacentral:rRNA from 1 species